rnacentral:rRNA from 1 species
UACGGAGGGUGCAAGCGUUAUCCGGAUUCACUGGGUUUAAAGGGUGCGUAGGCGGACACUUAAGUCCGUGGUGAAAUCUCUGGGCUUAACCCAGAAACUGCCAUGGAUACUAUUUGUCUUGAAUGUUGUGGAGGUUAGCGGAAUAUGUCAUGUAGCGGUGAAAUGCAUAGAUAUGACAUAGAACACCAAUUGCGAAGGCAGCUGGCUACACAAUGAUUGACACUGAGGCACGAAAGCGUGGGGAUCAAACAGG